CUUUUCCAAAGUCCUUUCACUCUGAACCGGAUUUUUGCUACCAUCACCAGAAAGGGAAGGAACAUGUAUGUGCACCACUGGGAAUCCUCAAGGAAUACUGAAGACAUGGGAUGAAGAUCAUCAGAUAGGUGAAUAACACUUUACUGGAGACAGAACAUGAACAUGAAGAAGACCAUCACUGUGAAGUCCUACUGAUGUCAGCUUCUUUGCUGAGAUCUAGCAAGAUCAAGC